CCCCUAGACGUUCUGGGCUGCACGCGCGCUACAAUAAUACGCACAGCGAGUAUCACCGAGCUCGAAAGGGCAAGGUAAACAAUAGAAAAGGUACUGUAAUGGUUAUAGAUCCUUGUAAUUAUUGAUCUUCAACGAGGAAUUCCUAGUAAGUAUGUGUCAUCAUCACGCACUGAUUACGUCCCUGCCCUUUGUACACACCGCCCGUCGCUCCUACCGAUUGGGUGAGCCGAUGAAACUCUCGGAUGUAGGCUAUUCAUAGCCCGCAGAAGAGAUUUGAAUCGUAGCGCUUAGAGGAAGGAGAAGUCGUAACA
rnacentral:rRNA from 1 species